GCGUGCUUACACAUGCAAGUCGAACGAUGAUGGUGGUGCUUGCAUCACCUGAUUAGUGGCGAACGGGUGAGUAACACGUGAGUAACCUGCCCCUCACUUCGGGAUAACCUCGGGAAAUCGUGGCUAAUACCGGAUAUGAACUUCUACCGCAUGGUGGUCGUUGGAAAGAUUUAUCGGUGAGGGAUGGACUCGCGGCCUAUCAGUUUGUUGGUGAGGUAAUGGCUCACCAAGACGAUGACGGGUAGCCGGCCUGAGAGGGCGACCGGCCACACUGGGACUGAGACACGGCCCAGACUCCUACGGGAGGCAGCAGUGGGGAAUAUUGCACAAUGGGCGAAAGCCUGAUGCAGCGACGCCGCGUGGGGGAUGACGGCCUUCGGGUUGUAAACCUCUUUCAGUAGGGAAGAAGCGAAAGUGACGGUACCUGCAGAAGAAGCGCCGGCUAACUACGUGCCAGCAGCCGCGGUAAUACGUAGGGCGCAAGCGUUGUCCGGAAUUAUUGGGCGUAAAGAGCUCGUAGGUGGCUUGUCGCGUCUGCCGUGAAAACCCGAGGCUCAACCUCGGGCGUGCGGUGGGUACGGGCAGGCUAGAGUGUGGUAGGGGAGACUGGAACUCCUGGUGUAGCGGUGAAAUGCGCAGAUAUCAGGAAGAACACCGAUGGCGAAGGCAGGUCUCUGGGCCAUUACUGACACUGAGGAGCG
rnacentral:rRNA from 1 species